rnacentral:rRNA from 1 species
UACGGGGGGGCAAGCGUUGUUCGGAAUUACUGGGCGUAAAGGGCUCGUAGGCGGCCAACUAAGUCAGACGUGAAAUCCCUCGGCUUAACCGGGGAACUGCGUCUGAUACUGGAUGGCUAGAGAUUGGGAGAGGGAUGCGGAAUUCCAGGUGUAGCGGUGAAAUGCGUAGAUAUCUGGAGGAACACCGGUGGCGAAGGCGGCAUCCUGGACCAACACUGACGCUGAGGCGCGAAAGCUAGGGGAGCAAACGGG